UACGUAGGGUGCGAGCGUUGUCCGGAAUUAUUGGGCGUAAAGGGCUCGUAGGCGGUUUGUCGCGUCGGGAGUGAAAUCCACUGGCUUAACUGGUGGCUUGCUUUCGAUACGGGCAGACUGGAGGUAUGCAGGGGAGAACGGAAUUCCUGGUGUAGCGGUGAAAUGCGCAGAUAUCAGGAGGAACACCGGUGGCGAAAGCGGCUCUCUGGAACGGUACUGACGCUGAGACGCGAAAGCGUGGGGAGCGAACAGG
rnacentral:rRNA from 1 species